GAGGAAUAUUGGACAAUGGGCGCAAGCCUGAUCCAGCCAUGCCGCGUGCAGGAUGACGGUCCUAUGGAUUGUAAACUGCUUUUGUACAGGAAGAAACACUCCCUCGUGAGGGAGCUUGACGGUACUGUAAGAAUAAGGAUCGGCUAACUCCGUGCCAGCAGCCGCGGUAAUACGGAGGAUCCAAGCGUUAUCCGGAAUCAUUGGGUUUAAAGGGUCCGUAGGCGGUCUUAUAAGUCAGUGGUGAAAUCUCCCCGCUCAACGGGGAAACGGCCAUUGAUACUGUAAGACUUGAAUUAUUAGGAAGUAACUAGAAUAUGUAGUGUAGCGGUGAAAUGCUUAGAGAUUACAUGGAAUACCAAUUGCGAAGGCAGGUUACUACUAAUGGAUUGACGCUGAUGGACGAAAGCGUGGGUAGCGAACAGGAUUAGAUACCCUGGUAGUCCACGCCGUAAACGAUGGAUACUAGCUGUUGGGCGCAAGUUCAGUGGCUAAGCGAAAGUGAUAAGUAUCCCACCUGGGGAGUACGUUCGCAAGAAUG
rnacentral:rRNA from 1 species